rnacentral:ncRNA from 1 species
AUGUACCUUCAGGGUAGGGUGAGAUUCCCGACCGGCGGUAGAGCCCGCGAACUCUUCAAAUGAAGGGUUGAUCCGGUGUAAUUCCGGAGCCGACAGUUAAAGUCUGGAUGGGAGAAGGUAAUU